GGUUGCUUGGUCUAGUGGUAUGAUUCUCGCUUAGGGUGCGAGAGGUCCCGGGUUCAAUUCCCGGAGCAACCC
rnacentral:tRNA from 2 species